UGCCAAUAUACACAGGCAACGAAUUCAUCCAUGCCCUUAUAACGAAAUUGACGGCGUUGACGACGAGGUCAAGAGGUUUCGAAAUCCUGGUUCAAAUCUGUGCGAGUUCUCCGCUGCUGUCUCUUGAUCGAAGGUUCUUCAAUCCUCAGGCGGGUUCACAUCUAUGCCGUGGUAGUUCUGUAGUUCGAUUUCUGGUUUCCGCUGCGGACUUUCUUUGGAGAGGAAGACGACCUACUUUGCAGCCUUGGUAAUCUCCUCUCCCCCUAUUCGAUUUCCAUCUAAUGAAGUCAUCUCUCUCAACCCUGUACAGAGUCUCCAUCACCCGUUCCCUCUCAAGCUCCUCUUCUUCUAGCUUACUCACCACCACCAUCACCACCACCGACCCCUUUCUGUCUCACCCAUCUGAUAACCAUCUCUCCAUUGUUCACUCCAAGGAAGAUCUCCUAAAAUCCUACACAGUCACUCCCCCAAUCAAACCAUGGCCUCAGCGUCUCUACCCCAAACGUCUCGUCGCCAUGAUUUACCGUCAGCAGAACCUCGACCUCGCUCUCCAGAUUUUCGACCACGCCGGCAAUUUCCACUCUGGGUUUUCCCAUAACUACGACACCUACAACGCCAUCAUCGAGAAGCUCGCCCGUGCUCGAGCCUUCCAACAAUUGGAAACCCUUCUUUCUGAUCUCCAAAAUUCACACAUCAAAUGCGGCGAGAAUCUCUUCGUAAUGGUGAUCCGCAACUAUGGUAUAGCGAGCCGCCCCAAACAGGCUUUACAAACCUUCCUCCGGAUCCCGGAUUUUGGUGUUGAUCGAUCCGUUAGAUCCCUCAAUACGCUACUGAACGCUAUGAUUCAGAACAAGCGAUACGGCUUGGUGCAUCUCUUGUUUAAAAAUUGUAGGAAGAAGUUUGGGAUCAUCCCUAAUGUCUUCACUGGUAAUAUUUUGAUCAAAGCUUUGUGUAAGAAGAACGAUUUGGAUGGGGCACUUAAGGUUUUGGAUGAAAUGCCAGCGAUGGGGAUGGUUCCCAAUCUCGUCACCUACACAACGAUAUUAGGCGGCUAUUGUUUCCGCGGUGAUUUGAAUGGAGCCAAGAAGGUUUUUGAUGAGAUUUUGGAUCGUGGAUGGAUUCCGGAUGCGACGACAUAUACGAUCUUGAUGGACGGAUUCUGUCAGCAAGGGAGGUUGAUCGAUGCUGUCAAGGUAAUGGACGAUAUGGAAGAGAAUGGCGUUGAUCCCAAUGAGGUUACUUAUGGAGUUAUGAUUGAAGCCUACUGUAAAGAGAAGAAAUCAGGUGAAGCUCUGAAUUUGCUCGAUGAUAUGCUUGAGAAAAAAUAUGUACCAAGCUCGUCACUCUGUUGCAAGGUGAUUGAUGUUUUAUGUGAGGAGGGAAGAGUUGAAGAUGCUUGUGUUCUGUGGAAGAAGCUAUUGAGAAAAAAUUGCACUCCAGAUAAUGCUAUUUCGAGCACCCUCAUUUACUGGAUGUGUAAGAAGGGUAAGAUCUCGGAAGCAAAGGAGCUGUUUGAUGAGUUCGAAAAGGGCUCAAUUCCUAGUAUUUUGACAUAUAACACACUAAUCUCAGGAAUGUGCGAGAGGGGGGAGUUGCAGGAAGCUGGAAGGUUGUGGGAUGAUAUGGUGGAGAAGGGAUGUGUUCCGAAUGCAUUCACCUAUAACAUGUUGAUUAAGGGGUUCUGUAAAGUGGGUAAAGCAAGGGAAGGAGUCAGGAUUGUAGAUGAGAUGUUGGAGAAGGGAUGUAUGCCAAAUAAGUCAACUUACUCUAUCUUGGUUGAAGGGCUUAACCAGUCAGGAAUGCAAAAGGAUGUGACCAAGGUUCUUCACAUGGUAAUUAGUACUAAAGAGACCUUCCUCGACACUGAUUCAUGGGAGGUAUUUGUGAGUAAGGUCGACUGCAAUUUGAACAGUUCAAGAGUAAUUCUAGAGAAGGUAUUAUUAGACACUGCUGGUUGAUCGCAUUUGGGAAGUUAAGCAGGUAAUGAGAGAAAAUUUUGGGCAUACUAAUUCAAAGCCACACUCCCUUGGAACAAGUUAAAAAUAUAGCUUUUGGAUGGUCCCUCUGAAGAAGCAAAUUGAGAUUAAAAAUAGGCCACUCUACGGACUCUUCAAAGCUUAUGGCUGAGCUGCAAUUCAUCGUUCACUUUUGUUAUUCACUGACCACCCUGCGAGCUUCAGAGGCAAAUGAAUUAAAUCACCAGUUGAGCCUAUUGAGUUUGUAGCUAGCUUGGUGCUCAGGUGGAUACAAUGGUUGCAGUAAAAUCUGAAGAUCGUUGCUGGAUGAGAGUGUAUCGGCUGCGUCAUGUGCAAAUGCAGGAGGAAACUUAUUCUUCUUUUCCUACUUGGAGGAUGGCAGUGUUGAGUGAAGAAAUUAACAUACCAAAAGACUUAAUAACACAGAACAAAUCAAAUUCUUCUGCUGGUAGCAUUGGAUUGAUAUUGGGUGACUUGGGUCUGAUUUAAGAUAGUCUUCAAGUCUGGAAAAUGGAUUCUGACCAAGAGUGGUAUAUUCAUUGAGAGGAGCUGUUCUGAAAAAGGCUUCGUUAAGUCAAAUGUUAAUUGAAGUGAUAUUACAUCAUGCCUUAGAUAUGGGUGAGACUUGGGAGCUUGAAUACCUUCCUAAACAACCGAAGGUUGGCAAGCCGAGCAACCCAAAUUCAGUUACCUUGACCAAUUUUCAUUUCAAAUAAGAGGUACCUGUCAAGCUUAUAUGAAAGGAAAAGAAGAGAUGAGGUGACGAGGAACAGUUUAGGCUCCAUAAAAUUGUUGAGAUACAUCCAGAGGAUAAACAUGGUGCUGGUUUUGCUCUUUUUGAGUCUGAGUCUCUGAAGUGGCCGGGGUUUGUAGAGUUUGAUGAUGUAAAUGGAAAAGUUCUCACUUGCAGAUGCAAUUUUUAUCUACUUUGUGUGGAAAAGCUCUCACAUGCGGAGGGCAAACCUGAUAGUGUUCAGAUGUUCAAGUAUUGGUUCAAUUUUGUGAACUUGAAAAUGCCACUGUACGAGCAAAUGCUGUGAAGCUGUUCUGUUGCUUGACAGCAGAUGGCGAUGAUGGCAUGCUAUCAGAGCAUGUUAAUCAGAG